rnacentral:rRNA from 1 species
AUUAAAGAGUUCUAUAACUCCCAAACCCAUGUGAACAUACCCAACGUUGCCUCGGCAGGUCGCGCCUACCUCGUAGCCCCCAUACACUGUAGGGCCUACCCGGGAGACGCGGGUAAGCCUGCCGGCGGCCCACCAAACUCUGUUUGAUAUUGAAUUCUGAACCUAUAACUAAAUAAGUUAAAACUUUCAACAACGGAUCUCUUGGUUCUGGCAUCGAUGAAGAACGCAGCGAAAUGCGAUAAGUAAUGUGAAUUGCAGAAUUCAGUGAAUCAUCGAAUCUUUGAACGCAUAUUGCGCCCAUUAGUAUUCUAGUGGGCAGGACCGUUCGAGCGUCAUUUCGACCCUUAAGCCUUAGUUGCUUAGUGUUGGGAGCCUACGGUAACGUAGCUCCUCAAAGUUAGUGGCGGAGUUGGUUCACACUCUAGACGUAGUAAUUUUUUAUCUCGCCUAUCAGUUGGACCGAUCCCCUGCCGUAAAACCCCCCAACUUCUCAAGGUUGACCUCGAAUCGGUUCAGACAAACUCGCUAAAUUGAAGCAUCUUAGUCAGCGAAGGAAAAGAAACCAACA